rnacentral:lncRNA from 10 species
CGCGCCCGCUCCACCUGCGUCCUCUCGGGACAGUGGCGUGGGCGCCGCGCCUCAACGCCUCGGCUCACGCAGGCUUCCGCAGCCCGCGCCAGUACAGUGUUGUGAACCACUUGUCAUGGGAUAACCAAAAUUAAACCUGGAAUCGCAGAAGAAACAAAUUUUUUGAAGAAAUUGGAUGUACUUUUUUAAAAUUUUUCAUUCAACUAAAACUUUGUUAACUGUUUCUUGGUUGUGGUCUUCUCUAAAUUGUAAUCUUUGGCAUUCACUUCCAAAGUAUCCACCACUAAACUUCAUAACAUUUAUUGUGUCUCUUCAUCAUUAAACUUUGAUGAAUUUACAGAGUGUCUUUUGAAAUUAUGUUCUUGAGAAAGCCAGGGGAUUGGACGGUGUCAUGGAAAUGUCAAAGAAAAAGUGACACCUGAGAGAAAAUUUGAAAGAUGAAAGCAGAUGCACUAAAGAGG